rnacentral:rRNA from 1 species
UCCCAGACUCCUACGGGAGGCAGCAGUGGGGGAUAUUGCACAAUGGGGGGAACCCUGAUGCAGCGACGCCGCGUGGGUGAAGGAGCGUUUCGGCGCGUAAAGCCCUAUCGGCAGGGAAGAAGGAGGACGGUACCUGACUAAGAAGCCCCGGCUAACUACGUGCCAGCAGCCGCGGUAAUACGUAGGGGGCAAGCGUUAUCCGGAUUUACUGGGUGUAAAGGGGGCGCAGACGGCAGCGCAAGCCAGGAGUGAAAGCCCGGGGCCCAACCCCGGGCAUGCAUUGGAAACUGGCGGGCUGGAGUGCCGGAGAGGUAAGCGGAAUUCCUAGUGUAGCGGUGAAAUGCGUAGAUAUUAGGAGGAACACCAGUGGCGAAGGCGGCUUACUGGACGGCAACUGACGCUGAGGCUCGAAAGCGUGGGGAGCAAACAGGAUUAGAUACCCGGGUAAC